UACGUAGGGCGCAAGCGUUGUCCGGAAUUAUUGGGCGUAAAGAGCUCGUAGGCGGCUUGUUGCGUCGGUUGUGAAAGCCCGGGGCUUAACCCCGGGUCUGCAGUCGAUACGGGCAGGCUAGAGUGUGGUAGGGGAGAGCGGAAUUCCUGGUGUAGCGGUGAAAUGCGCAGAUAUCAGGAGGAACACCGGUGGCGAAGGCGGAUCUCUGGGCCAUUACUGACGCUGAGGAGCGAAAGCGUGGGGAGCGAACAGG
rnacentral:rRNA from 1 species